UCGCACAACGCCGUUUUAUUGCAAUAGCGGAUUUUUUUUCUCCUACAAAGAAACCUUUUUUUUUUAUGCUCGGCGUGAGGGACCCCAAGUUUGGGAAUGUGGCAUGUGUCGAGCCGCUGUGUUCAUCACGGUGCACAGUUGCUGGUGUUAUCUUUGUUGCACCUUUUUGUCAUGAAUGUUCCGAUUGCAAUGGUUUGAUGGAGUGUGCCAACAUUUCUUCUUCACUUUGCAGCCCUUCUCCGUGGUAGAGCUCCCACCGCUGCCGUGGGGGAGGCAAGAGCAGACGAGGAGCAGGAGGCGCUUGAGGUGGCUGGGGAGCAAGCUUCCUCUGAGGACCCUGCACAGGGAUCAGAACAGGCACCCCCUGCUAGUGCACAGGAAAGCCAACUGGAACGGUCGGAGGAGGGUCCCUCAACCAGCAGAAGGUCUGCUCCCCCUGGAAGAGCCCAACGCAGAGGGAUAGGAGAUCUGUUCACGGCCAUGGAGAGGAUGGAGGAGAGGCUAGGAUCAUCCAUCUCAAAUGUGCAAGAGAGGUUGAGCAGCGUGGAGGACCGACUAGCACGCCUAGGGCGGCGAGUAAAUGUGAUGGAGCGCCGUGAGAGAAGGAGACAUCGUCCCUCUGCCUCUGGGGAUGCACCCUGAUUGUUCUCACCACUGUAUAUAGUUACCCAAGUUUUCUUCCCCUUCCCCCACAGUUUAUUGUUGAGCUGUUCAU